UGGGCUUGACAUACACCGGAAACGUCCAGAGAUGGGCGCCCCCUUGUGGUCGGUGUACAGGUGGUGCAUGGCUGUCGUCAGCUCGUGUCGUGAGAUGUUGGGUUAAGUCCCGCAACGAGCGCAACCCUUGUCCCGUGUUGCCAGCAGGCCCUUGUGGUGCUGGGGACUCACGGGAGACCGCCGGGGUCAACUCGGAGGAAGGUGGGGAUGACGUUUACGUGCACUU
rnacentral:misc_RNA from 1 species